UUCUACAACUCAAGGGCUUAGGGUUUUUAAGUCACUUUCUCAGGGGAAGGAAGAGUACUUGCAGAGACCUGAGUUUAACUGGAACUUUCCUAAAUUUCCAGUCACUACCAAUAGUUCGGUGUUAAUUGAAGCGAUCCAGAAUUGGACCCAAACCUUUUUGUGAAGUGUGAUAGUGAAAUGCUGCAUCUUUGAAUUUGUUUUUCUAAUACCAAGUCUUGGCAUUCUAUAUAACCAUCUCCCGAUAGGAGAUGGUUAGGUUAGCUAUCUGUUAACCUUCGUGCCAGUGGACCUACAAACAAAAGGGAGACUACAAGACAACAUCAGUGGAAAACUUUGUAGUUCACUUUGUUUGGAUAUGGGCAAGUAAUUUCUAAUGAAAUGAGUUACAGGAAAUACUAUCUCUGAAAAUAUUUCCCUUUGGGUUCAUGUUCUUAGUUCAUUUUAUCUAUCAUUAAAAUUAGAAUAUUGUUUUUAAGUCAUGAUGACAUUUGAAAAAUAAAAACCAUGGAAGUCCCUAA